AUGACUGCAGAAAAGCGUAUACCGUUACAUGAAUUACGUGAGAUUACAAAUGGAUUCUCAGUGGACUCAAGAAUAGGACAGGGUGGGUAUGGAGAUGUUUACAAGGGACUGUACAAAGGAAGAGAUGUUGCUGUGAAGUUGCUUCAUGUUGAUACGAUACAAGGAAUCGAUGAUCAACAAUAUCUCAAUGAAGUUGGUAACCUUUUGAGGGUUAAGCAUCCAAAUAUCGUGCAGUUACUUGGUUAUAGUUAUGAAACAACUUCUGAAUUGGUUGAACACAAGGGUAAGCAAGGUCUUAGUAAACACAUAUAUAGAGUCCUCUGCUUCGAGUACUUGCAGGGUGAAAGCCUAGACAAGCGUCUUCCUGAAGAAUCUUUUGCACCUGAUUGGAGCAUACGUUACAUGAUUAUAAAGGGCAUUUGUGAAGGAUUAAAUUUCCUUCACAGGUGUGAACCACCAAUUUUUCAUCUUGAUCUAAAGCCUGCCAAUAUAUUACUAGACAGUUCCAUGAUGCCUAAAGUGGCAGAUUUUGGAUUGUCAAGGGUCAUCAGUCAAUCACACACUCAAGUCACAAAACAAAUCAAAGGAACCCAGGCGUACAUGCCACCAGAAUUCAUAAAAGAUGGCUAUAUCUCACGUAAGAAUGAUGUCUUCAGUUUAGGACUUGUGAUGAUAGAGAUAAUGACAGGGUCUUUGGGUUACUCCGGUCAUAUAGAAAUGGACGAAGUCGUGCAAUUUACGCAGAAGGUACUUAGCAAUUGGAAGAAUAGGAUAAAGGCCACUUCAGAGUACCCAUUAGAGGAAUCACAUCAAGUGCAGACAUGCAUCGACACAGCAAUGCGUUGUAUGGAACUUGACAGAAACAAUCGACCAACUAUAGCAGAAGUACUGGAUACUCUGAACAAGACAGAAACUCAUAUUCCCAAGAGACAGAUGAUAGAUGUGCUCCCGUGUCCAACUAUUGGGCUCAGGAGCGAGUCUAAUAUGUUGGAGAUGAUGGUUGCUGAACUGAACAGUAAUGAUAACGGACAUAGCAAUUCGAUGCCAACAGAUAGCUCUAACCGUGCUGUGCAGCAAGUUCCUGACAGGGAAACAUCAUCAGAUGUGGAAGAAGUAAUCAUCGGAAGGACUGAGGAAAAACAGAAAAUAUUGUCUAUUUUAUCCGAGCACAUCACAGAAAAAAUGGUCAUCCUUCCAAUAUAUGGCAUUGGAGGCAUUGGCAAGACAACCUUGGCACAAAUGGUAUUCAAUGACCAACAGUUUGAAGACUACACUCGGGUGUGGGUAUAUGUUUCCCCGGAAUUUAACUUGCAUAAGAUAGGCAACUCUAUAAUAAUGCAGUUAACAGACAAGAUCAGCAAUAUAUCUACCAAACAGAUGCUUCAUAACCGCCUUAAAGAGCUGUUUGCUGGUAAGAGGAUCCUUAUUGUUUUGGAUGAUCUGUGGGAGGAGAACCCAAAAGAGUUCGAUAAACUAAAGGUUAUGCUAGGGCUUGGCGUGGGAAGUAAGGUGAUUAUAGUAACUACACGUGAUGGAGGCCUCGCAAGGAAAUUUUGUAGUCCUGCAGUUGCACCAUACAAGCUGGAGACUUUGACGGUUGAUGAGUGCUGGACUAUAAUUAAACAUAAAGCUGACUUUGAAAACCGAGUGGAUCAAGAACAAUUGGAGCAUAUAGGAAGGGAGAUUGCAGCCAAAUGUGGAGGAGUGGCCUUAGCGGCUCAAUCACUUGGAUACAUGUUGAACGGCAUGACUUCAGAUGAAUGGGAGUCGGUGAGAGAUAGUUAUAUCUGGAAUCUAUCGAGUUUGGAGGGCCAUGAAGUGCUUGCGUCCUUACGGCUAAGCUAUAGCCACAUGUCUGCUUGGUUGAGGUUGUGCUUUUCCUAUUGUGCAAUAUUUCCAAAAGGUCACAAAAUAGUGAAGUAUGAUCUAAUUCACCAAUGGAUUGCUCUUGGAUUCAUCAAGCAAUCUAGUAUAUUUGAUUCCAUGCAGCUCUGUGAGAAUUAUGUCACACAACUUUUGGGGAUGUCCUUCCUUCAAUAUUCAAAGACACUUUCAAGUGACACAAAACGAAACGAAGAUGUCAUAUUGUUCACGAUGCAUGACCUAGUAUAUGAUCUCGCAAAAGAGACCUUGUCGCAUCAAAUUAGCGUUGGGGGGAAUAAUUGCCGCUACACAUUGCUCUCAGACUGUAGAGAGUCAUUGCAGUAUUUCGUGGCUUUUCCUGCAAAUAUAAGGGCGCUGCAUUUUCAGGACUGCGGCAAUAAACAACUCCGUGGCAGUGCAUUUUCGCCAGCUAAGUGCCUCCGUGUCUUGGAUUUAAGUGAAUGUUUUAUUCAGAAGUUACCUGAUUGUAUUGGCCAACUGAAGCAGCUGAGAUUUCUUCAUGCUCCACGGAUACAAGAUAAGAUGAUUCCCAAUUGUAUCACCGAGCUCUCAGAAUUAAAUUAUCUCAACCUUAGAGGCUCUGAGAAAAUCACAGCACUGCCGGAGUCAAUUGGUGAUAUGAAAGGUCUGAUGCAUCUUGAUUUAUCAGAUUGCAAUGGUAUACUUGAACUCCCAAUAUCAUUCGCGGAGCUGACGCAGUUGGUGCAUUUGGAUUUAUCACGUUGCAGAGUAUCUAUAUCAAAAGCUUUUGGUGGCUUUACCAAACUUCAGUACUUGGAUUUAACAGUUCAUUAUAAGAUAGUCACAGAUAGGAGAGGGCUAGCAGAGGUCAUCGGUAAUCUAAUCAAACUCAAGUAUCUAAAUCUAUCAAGUUGCAUUCGGAUUAUGGUCCCUUCAGAAUAUCAGAUUGGCAGCUUGCUUGACAAAAUCAGCACCCUUUCCAAUCUAGAGCAUCUGGUCUUGUCUGAGAAUGAAGAGCUUUCAAGUAUACCAGAAAGUAUUAGCAACCUCAGGAAGCUUCAUACACUGGACCUCUCAAGCUGCCACCUAAAGAAGCUCCCCGAUAGUAUAAAUCAGAUGGUUAGUCUGAAGGUUCUAAAUUUGAAAGGUGUUAACUGGUAUGAAUUGUCUCUCUCUCGGUUUAACUGUGCCUCUUUGCCAUACUUUGAGGUGCAUGCUUCAGGUGAUAAAUGUGGCAGCAAUAUCGUUCUGCUUGAGCCUACAAAUCCUGAUGUGUUGAUGAUAGAUAGACUUGAAAAUGUGAAGUCUGCAGGAGAGGCACACAGUAUAAAACUAAUAGAGAAACAAAAAAUUAUAAAUCUAAAAUUUGAAUGGACUGUAGAUGCUGCGAGGUCUGUGGAUGACAAGGAGGUGUUGGAAAAACUAGUGCCGCCAAGCAGUGUACAUACAUUGGAUAUAACUGGUUACAGCAGUGUCUGCAUUCCAGAUUGGCUUAUGGGUAUCGGGCAAUAUCUCCCUAAUGUUUCUUACUUAUAUUUGUGUGAUUUUCAGAAGUGCAACAAGCUACCACCACUUGGUCUACUACCAAACUUACGAGACCUGAGUCUCACCCGUAUGGAGGGCUUGGAAGAAUGGAACACGACACAUUACAGUGGCGAGGAAGGUUCAAAUGAGCUCUUGUUCCCUAAGCUUGAGGAGUUGAGGAUAGAGCAAUGUGGCAAGCUGAGGAUAAAACCGUGUCUGCCUGGGGAGAGCGCCAAGUAUUUGUGCAUACGAGGUUGUGAUACUAUGCUAUCAUCAUGGGGAGAGCGCUCGUCACACUGCAGUACUUCCUCCUCUUCUCCGUUAACUGAGCUGGAAGUUGCUGAAAGCAAGGUGCCCAUGCAUCAGUGGAGGUUGCUUCACCACCUCCCUGCCCUUCGUAAAUUAACUAUCACUGAUUGCAGUGAUCUGACCACCUCACCUGAGAUCAUCCACAGCCUCUCUUCCCUUAGAGCGUUGUGCUUUGUAUUAUUGUCGCAGGCAGGACUGCCGAGAGGGUUGGUUGAACUGACAUCUCUGCAGGAACUAACUCUGUAUCGGUGUGCAACCAUAUCAGUACCAGAGUGGUUAGGGGAAUUAACCUCUCUCAAGCGUUUUGUGAUAGGGCGCUGCCAGGGGAUGAGGUCUUUGCCUGACAGCAUACAAGCGACGAAGCUUGAAUAUUUACAAAUUGACGACGAAUGCCCUACAUUGGUGAAGUGGUGUAAAUCAGAGAAUAACAAGAUGAAGCUCGCUCACAUAAAAAAAGUGAACUUCCUAUUCGACUCAGAUGAAGAAGACGAGUCAAAUGAAGAAGACAUAGCAGAUGACUCAGAUGAAGAAGAGAUAGCGGAGACCGUUGAGGAGACAACCACAAUUGAUGUGGCCAACGCAAGAGGUGCCGUCCACAAUUCAGUAGCUGUCAUUCAUGGCACUGUGACUGAUGAGGUGCGCCAACGGUUCAGGAUGUGCUGUUGUACAGUGCUGUGA
rnacentral:rRNA from 1 species